ensembl:lncRNA
GGCACUUUUAAAGAAGCUCAAAGUGAGUCUGUGCAGAUGCCCAGGUGAUCGGAGGAGGGAGAGGAGGAGGAGGAGGAGGAGGAAGAGGAGGAGUAUAAAAAGCUGCUGCUCUCUUUCAGUCGAGUUUAAAUACACUGAAGUUUCACCUGAUCAGAGCUUCCAUCGACCUGCGGAUUACCGAUAUGCUGCAGCGGUCAACUGUGUUGCUGCUCUUUGUGCUCGUUGCUGUUUCACUUGCAGCUCCAGUCCAGAAGAGAAACUCAGAAGAUGAGAGAAUUGUGCAUCUGUUGAAGCACCUGAAUGGUGGCAGGACAAGUGAACCUGUGACAACAGAGCCAGAUGUUCAUGAAAGUGAAGAACAAACUGAAGCUCCUUCAGUCGAUGCCACUGAGUCACCAGACGUCAGCGAUGAAGGUGAUGCCAUGACUGACAGCGAUGAAGCUCCUUCAGUUGAUGCCACUGAGCCACCAGGUGGUUCAGAUGAAGCUGAUGUUACAGCUGACAGCGAUGAAGGUGACAUUAAAGAUUCUCCUGAAGAAACUGAAGAUGCUGCAGAACAGCCAAAAGAUCCUUCAGAGGAGACUGAAACACAAGAGACUGAAGAGCCUGCGCCCGAAAACAGCACCGACACCAGCACCGACACCAGCACAGAGUCUGAGCCAGCACCUAAUGGUGACAAAGAUGAUGAUGAGGAGGCAUUGAGUGAUGAAGAGCAGGAAGUGAAGGAGAAGGGAGAUGAAAUGAGUGAAAAAGAUAUCAGUAAGGAGGAGGAGGGGGAGGUGGUGCCUAUCAUAGAAGAGGAGAGCAAAGAGGAAAGUGUAACUCCAGCUGAAGAAGACAGCAAGAUGAACGACAGUGAGACUGAAGACAUGGUGGAGGUAGAGGAGAAGGAGAAAGAGGGUGAGGAGGAAGAGACAGAAGAGGAAAAUGAGGAGGAGUUCAAAGAAGUGGAGGAGGAGAAGGAGGAAAAAGAGAACGAUAAUCAGGAUGAACUAGGGGAGGAUAACCAGGAUGAGCUAGAGGCGGAGAAAGAGGAGGAGGAUGAGCUAGAGGAGGAUAAGGAGGAGGAAGAGCCAGAGGAGGAGGAGCUAGAGAAGGAAAAUGAAGAGAAAGAGGAGGAGCUAGAUGGGGAUAAAGAGGAGGAAGAGGCAGAAGAGGAGAAGAAGGGAGAGUUAGAGAAGGAAAAUGAAGAGAAAGAGGAAGAUAUGGAUGAGAAGGAGGAGCAGCAGGAGGAACUGGAGGAAGAAAAUGAGGAGGCGCAAGAGAUAAAGGAGGAGGAAGAGGAGGAGGUGGAGGAUGAUUUCCAGGAUGAUUCUGAAAAUACAGAUACUGAAGAACCUGAUGAAAUUGAUGAUGGUCUGGACUCCACUGAAGCAACACCUGCUGGCGAACUGGACCAGUCAGAUGACGCCACCCCCGCCACCACACAGGCUACCAGUUAGAUUCUUCGCCUCUGAGCUGUGGGAGCUCAGCAACUGCAGAGCCAAGCCCACAGCCUCCACAGUGGAAUCCAGCUGCCAUGACUACAAGAAGCUAAACUGCAUGAAUUUCAACAUUCAGCCAACUGUUUCCUCUCCCCGUUUUCUAGCAGUGUCUGUUUUAACUUCUGGCUUCUUUGGUUUUCUCAGAUUAAAAAAAGAAAAGAAAUGUUUUUCACCUGCUGACUGUCUGCCUUUCUGCCAUGUGUCCUUUAACCUGUCUCUCUUUCCGGCUUCUUGUCUGCAGAAAUAUUAAAUCAGCUGCUGAGCUCAGAUCUGUUUUGUGUGCCUGAUUUCACACAUUAACAUGUACAUAAGUCCCUCCUUAAUUUACAGAGAAUGUUUUUAAGGACGUGAGAAACCAGUCAGUGGUGUAUACAGAGGAACUGCUAAUAAAUUUUGAAUUGUCGAAACCUCAUCGACUCUUUCUUCCAAAAGUCAGCAUGCUUCUCUGAACCAGUAAUGACUUGAUUUCAGUCACACAUUUUUAUCAUAAAAUGUGAUGUUAUUGUUCAGAAGCUGUAGCAGAACUGAGAUCAGGAAGGACCAACAAGUGUAUGCUUUAUUCAUUAUUUAGAAAAAUAGCUCAUGACUGGUGGCUCAUGUGGUAGAGCAGGGUGUCCACCAGUCAGAAGGUUGGAGGAUUGAUCCCUGUCUCCUCUAGUCAUAAGCCAUGGGAACCAUCAGUAAGGUCUUAGCUUAACUGUUGUUGAAUCUUCUACACAGAAACAGUUUGAAGUCACCUUUACUGACUUAUAAGGAAUUUCCUGUGGCUGGGAAUGAGCAGUCAGACAGGAUUCCUGAUGUUCAUCAUUUCCAGUUAGCUGCAUGGCCACAUUCCUCAGGCUGUUCUCUGCAGCACCUCAACACUGUUCACACCCUCUACUAUACCUUUAUAUGUUGCUGUUAUAGCCCUAAAGUAUAAUGACUGGUGAUAUGUGGCACAAAGCCGUAUAAGUAAAUAAAGCAGACUAAGCACGCUCAGUGCUGCUGAGGUGAUUGCUGCACAUUAGAACUGUGAGAUUUUAAAAUGUAUUCAUAGAAACAAUAAAGCUUCCUGUGCCACAGCCUAACCCAUAGCCUGCUCCUAAAAGUUUCAAUUCUUUUUCUCUCAGCUGCAGACUCGCUGCUGUUUAUUGUUUGAGAAUAAAAAUUAAAUCUUAAAAUAGAAUUCAAACUUAGUACAGAUUUGAUAUGAGGUCAGCAGGUGCAGUGUAGAUGUCCUAUUUUAGUAUCAGCUGUUAAUGCGUAUUUCUAUAAGCAUUAACAGCUGAUACUAAAACAGGACAUAUAAAACUGUUGUAAAAUUGUUUGCUGCCAGUAGAAAAAAAAAUCAAAGAACAAAUUUGUAUUGAUCUCUAAUUUGAUAGCAUAAGUUACCAUGGCGAUACACCCAGGUAAGAAUGGACCACCUUCACAGCACAGAGAAUCCAGGGUUAAACCUGAAGUUAGCUGGAUAAGAUGGAGCCCUUCUUUGUAGUGCAAGCCUCUGACGGUGCCAGCCCCAUCCCUUCUUGUAAACAUAAAGGUUAAACCCUGGGUUCACUUAAUGAGUUGAUAACAAGCUUCAUGUGACCGUUCAUCUCAAUCGCUGAUGUUAGGCUAAAUCUAGAAAACAGAAAGAGACUUUGGCUAUGUGGGACCUCGUAGUAUGGGAGCUUGCUCACUUCCAUCUGUUUCACCUUGUAUCAUAAUAAUAAUGGAUUGGAUUUAUAUAGCACUUUUCAAGGCACCCAAAGCGCUUUACAAUGCCAUUAUUCAUUCAUGCUCACAUUCAUACACUGGUGGGGCAAGCUACGGUUGUAGCCACAGCUGCCCUGGGGCAGACUGACAGAGGCGAGGCCGCCAUAUCGUGCCAUCAGCCCCUCUGGCCAACACCAGUAGGCGGUAGGAUAAAGUGUCUUGCCCAAGGACAGAAAGGCCUGGGAUCGAACCGGCGACCUUCCGGUUACAGGUGCGCUUCCCAAGCCCCUGAGCCAUGGUCGCCCCAGCGAUGCUUUGGUUUCACCUCUUUCCGAAGCUGUGUUUUGUCUGUCUCACCUGAGACAGACAAGACAUAGCUCUGUAGUCUCUGUUUAUUUAUUUCCUAUUUGCAGCAGUGAGGCCUGUGGAUACUGACAUUUUAAGAUAGCCAGGGCAGGUGUGUGCGAGGUGGAAAAGUCAGGUUUCCUAGGGCCACGGUUACUGGUGUGGAACACUGAUUCCUGAGAUGAAGUUUCUUUGUGAUGAUGAAUGAAAGGUGACCUGCAGGUCCUAAGAGGAGUCACACAUACCAAAGAAGAAGAGAGAGGUAGGGGGGCACUUCCUGCCAGAUAAAGGGUGUUUGUUUCAACCUGUGAUUGGUUAAUGGGGUCAGGUCUGAGGCCAACAGCAGGGGGCAAUUCAAUAGAUCCUGUCACGCCUAUGUGUGUGUGUGUGUGUGUGUGUGUGUGUGUGUGUGUUUUCAGUGUUCACACUGAUGAUAAGUAGGUAUGAUGAAGAUCAGUUUGACCUGCAUGGUUCAGUGCGUAACAGUGCAUCGUUGUUGGUCACAGAUGGAAACUUUGGCUGUGAAGUUUCUGCGGUCUCACCGGCUUCCUGUUGCUCGAUGGUCCCACAGCUCUUAGUUUCAGUCAGACAUCAGGAUCAAAGGUGCAGGUGAGCUCCAGUCAUUCAGAACCAAGCUGGACCUAGACUAUAGCUUAAAGUGCCCCUAAUUCCUCUUCUGGACCUGAUCCCAGAGUCCAGCCCAGCUCCAGGUUGGUUCUAGUUUCAGGAUGUCCUACAGCAGAUGGAUUCAAACUCUUGUUCUGCCCUGAUUCCCACAGACAACAGGAAGCUCACUUCAAAAUAAAAGUACAGAAGGUCAGUGGGUUCUGUCACAUUGAAUCAGACUCAGAAGAUAAACUACAGCUUAAGCUCUGUCAUGUUGCUGUACCUAUGCUAUACCUGUUCCGAUGUGACAUUUAACCCCUGCUUCUGCAUCCAUCAGACCGAGGAGUCGGCCACUUUGACAGGCUUCACAGUUCAGAAUUAAAACAAAGGUGGAGGGAAAGUUUCGUUUCAUCUCCGACUAGGUGUAACAAGGGUCCUCUCACUUUAAAUCAGUUCAGUCAGUUCAGUCCACAACCUUUAAAUACCUGCCUGUACACACUAGCUUUUCUUUAACGUCCUCUCAGUGUUGUCCUUUUUCCUUCUUCAUUAUUUUGCUUUAAUUUAUUUUUUUUUAACUCUAUGCAUAUUUCUGUGGAACACAUUGUCACUGUGAUUUGGAAAUAAACUUCGUGUGUGUGUGUGUGUGUGUGUGUGUGUGUGUGUGUGUGUGAGAGAGAGACAACGAGAAAACACACAGUAACAGAGCAGUUGCAUUUCCUGCUUAUUUUUGUUGUUGUUGUUUUAUCAGAAACUCUCAGGACCACACAAUAAUUCCUUGUUCCUUAAUAACAUUAUAAGUUAUAGUUAUAAUAAACUCUGUCUCCUAGUUAAAGUUGGGUUUGAAAAAUUGAUUUCCCUGAUUCAAAUUGAUUUUAGUUUGAAUAAUGUGAUAUUGAUUCGUUAAAGUCUGAAUCCAUUUUUAAAUAUAGAUAUAUUUUGCCAGAAACACAGGUUAAUCUCAGGUUAAAGCUCACAAAACAACAACCGUCAAACAGCUAAAACAGAUAAUUCCGUCUUACUUUGGCAUUCUUGCUUCCACCAUCACACAUCCUGCACAGCUCUUUCUGUACUUAACUGUUAAAUCUCAGUUUUCUGCAUUAUUAGCUUGCUUGUUACGCACCAGUCUACCGUUGUGUACAGUACUGUUGGCCUCUGUUUUUUUGUUUGUUUGUUUUUUCAAAAAUGAUCUGCUGUUCAAUACUGAAGAAAUUUAAACUUUUACAAAUCAUGCAAAAUUGCAAAAUGCUUACUAUGUCUCUAAUAAAACCUCUUUAACUUUGCCCGGCUUCAUUUCAGCAGCAUCAGGUAAUGUUCGUAUGCUGAUUCAUAGUUUUCUUCCCUUUUUGUUCUACUUUUAAGAUGGUUAUAAAAAGCCAGGCCAGGAAAAUGUCCUUCAUGUUUUUCUGUUUUUUAUCCUCAGUUUCACAAAGCCAUCUGCUGUGACGCUCACACCUCCUAUGAAGUCUCACAAAUGUCAGCUUUGUUUUUAUGCAUAGAUACAAAAAUAUGUAUAUGUACUAAUAAAUUAUCCUAAUUAUAAUAUUUCUGACUGUCUGAGUCAAAAUUGAAUUGAAUUGAAGUGAACUGAUCAUAUGAAAUUUAGGGAUCCAAUAGAACCCUAGUCCUAAUAUGUUCUAAUUUGUUCUAGUGUGUUCUAGU